GACGAACGCUGGCGGCGUGCUUAACACAUGCAAGUCGAACGGAAAGGCCCUGCUUGCAGGGUACUCGAGUGGCGAACGGGUGAGUAACACGUGGGUGAUCUGCCCUGCACUUCGGGAUAAGCCUGGGAAACUGGGUCUAAUACCGGAUAGGCGCCAUUUUUAGUGUGAUGGUUGGAAAGUUUUUUCGGUGUAGGAUGAGCUCGCGGCCUAUCAGCUUGUUGGUGGGGUAAUGGCCUACCAAGGCGGCGACGGGUAGCCGGCCUGAGAGGGUGGACGGCCACAUUGGGACUGAGAUACGGCCCAGACUCCUACGGGAGGCAGCAGUGGGGAAUAUUGCACAAUGGGCGCAAGCCUGAUGCAGCGACGCCGCGUGGGGGAUGACGGCCUUCGGGUUGUAAACUCCUUUCGCUAGGGACGAAGCUUUUUGUGACGGUACCUAGAUAAGAAGCACCGGCUAACUACGUG
rnacentral:rRNA from 1 species